GGCUUGGUAGUGAAGACUAUCAUGGUUGGCUUGCUUGAUUAAUAAUAAUAUUUAAAUAAUCAAGACUAUUAUGGUUGGCUUGCUUGAUUAAAAUAAUUAUUUUUUAUUUUUUUUUAUUUUUCGGAUUUCUUUGGCAGAAGUUAAAUUCAAACCAGAAAGACUUAUCUUUUUGUUUGAAUUUGAACAGGUAUAACUGAUACUAACUGCUAUUUUGAAGGGGUGUAAUUCUAUUAUAAAACCACAAGUCCUAGGCUAUAAGACAGAUCUCUUUUUCUUUAAACUAUCUCAUAUUAUUUUAAAGUUACCAACUGUAUUGGAGAGAAGCACACCAACGUUC
rnacentral:lncRNA from 1 species